GCAUAUUCAUCCUUUGCAAGAACAGUUGGUCUUGGAUUUGAGCAGCAUAAACGGAGACUAGACAAUGUAACAAAUGAACCUUUAUUCACUAAUGUAACCAGAGAUUUUAUUGGCUCUCUAGAUUACAUAUUUUACACAGCGGAUUCAUUGGUUGUGGAGUCAUUGUUGGAGCUAUUGGAUGAGGAGAGUUUGAGGAAAGACACCGCACUUCCUUCUCCUGAAUGGUCCUCUGAUCAUAUAGCUCUGUUAGCCGAGUUUCGCUGCUGCAAGAAUAGAUCUAGGCGAUGACUUAAGGUCGGAUCCAGAGAGGCACAAUGAAAAGCGUCGAAAGAAAUGUUUGAUUGAUGAUAAGUUAUUGUAAAAGUGGUAGAUCAUACGUUGUCUUUUUUCCAGGUAUCUCCUUGUGGGGGCCUUGAAAUGAUCUGCUUUGUAUCAUGUAACCUUUGUCAUAGAAAAAUUAUGAUAAUGCCUUAUUUUCGCCCACAUCUUGCCCAAUCGUUUUCCUUAUAAAGUAAAUCUUCUACGUUCGUUUCUA